rnacentral:rRNA from 1 species
UACGUAGGGGGCUAGCGUUGUCCGGAAUCAUUGGGCGUAAAGAGCGUGUAGGCGGCCCGGUAAGUCCGCUGUGAAAGUCGGGGGCUCAACCCUCGAAUGCCGGUGGAUACUGUCGGGCUAGAGUGCGGAAGAGGCGAGUGGAAUUCCUGGUGUAGCGGUGAAAUGCGCAGAUAUCAGGAGGAACACCGAUUGCGAAGGCAGCUCGCUGGGACGUCACUGACGCUGAGACGCGAAAGCGUGGGGAUCGAACAGG